rnacentral:rRNA from 1 species
AACGAACGCUGGCGGCAUGCCUAACACAUGCAAGUCGAACGAGAUCUUUCGGGGUGUAGUGGCGCACGGGUGCGUAACGCGUGGGAAUCUGCCUUUGGGUAUGGAUUAACUCAGAGAAAUUUGAGCUAAUACCAUAUGAAGCCGUCGUACCAAAGAUGUAUCGCCCUGAGAUGAGCCAGCGUAGGAUUAGCUAGUUGGUUGGGUGAAGGCCUACCAAGUCGACGAGCGGUAGCUGGUCUGAGAGGAGGAUCAGCCACACUGGGACUGAGACACGGUCCAGAAUCCUGGGAGAGGCAGAAGGCGGGAAUAUUGGAGGAUGGGCGCAAGGCGGAUCAAUCCAUACCGGGUGAGAGAAGAAGCCAGGCGGGCGGUGAAGGUCUUUAAGGUGUAAGGAAAGGAAGGAUGUUUACACCGGGAUGUUAUGACGAGACCCAGAGGAUAAGCCCCGGGUAACUUCGUG